GGGGAUAUGGUGUAGGGGUAUCACGUUUGCUUUGCAUUGUUCAUUCAAUACAAGCCUGUAAAAGGUCGGGGGUUCAAAUCCCUCUGUCUCCA
rfam:Trichoderma virens Gv29-8 TRIVIscaffold_4, whole genome shotgun sequence.